AUAUCGGUAACUUAGUUGGUAUAGCACUUGUUUAGCGUAUAAGGGUCGUAAAUUCAAAUCUUACCUGAUCUG
rnacentral:tRNA from 1 species